rnacentral:rRNA from 1 species
UUCGGCCCUGAUUAGAGUGGCGCACGGGUGAGUAGCGCGUGGGUAAUCUGCCCUUGGGCGGGGAUAACCUUCCGAAAGGGGGGCUAAUACCGCAUAAGACCACAGCUCUGCGGAGCCGUGGGAAAAGAUGGGGAUCUUCGGACCUGUCACCUGGGGAUGAGCCCGCGUACCAUUAGGUAGUUGGUGAGGUAACGGCUCACCAAGCCGAUGAUGGUUAGCUGGUCUGAGAGGAUGAUCAGCCACACUGGGACUGAGACACGGCCCAGACUCU